UUGAGGACAGAUAAAUAGGACACUUGGAAA
rnacentral:piRNA from 1 species